GACGAACGCUGGCGGCGUGCUUAACACAUGCAAGUCGAGCGGUAAGGCCCUUUCGGGGGUACACGAGCGGCGAACGGGUGAGUAACACGUGGGUGACCUGCCCUCAGCUCUGGGAUAAGCCUGGGAAACCGGGUCUAAUACCGGAUAUGACUCCAUGACGCAUGUUGUGGGGUGGAAAGCCUUGUGCGGCUGAGGAUGGGCCCGCGGCCUAUCAGCUUGUUGGUGGGGUGAUGGCCUACCAAGGCGACGACGGGUGGCCGGCCUGAGAGGGCGACCGGCCACACUGGGACUGAGACACGGCCCAGACUCCUACGGGAGGCAGCAGUGGGGAAUCUUGCGCAAUGGGCGAAAGCCUGACGCAGCGACGCCGCGUGA
rnacentral:rRNA from 1 species